CAAAGGUUUGGUCCUGGCCUUUCUGUUAGUUAUUAAUAAACUUACACAUGCAAGAAUCCUCGCCCCAGUGAGAACGCCCUUUACACCACAUCGUGGUGUAAAGGAGCCGGUAUCAGGCACACUACAAGUAGCUCACGACACCUCGCUCAGCCACACCCCCACGGGACACAGCAGUGAUAAAAAUUAAGCAAUAAAUGAAAGUCUGACUAAGUUAUAUUAUUAAGGACUGGUAAAUCUCGUGCCAGCCACCGCGGUCAUACGAUUAGGCCAAACUAACAGACAUUCGGCGUAAAGCGUGUUAUAGAGUGCUAUCAAUAAAUAAAAUUGAACUCUGACUAAGCUGUAAAAAGCCCUAGUCACCAUAAGAUACAUGACGAAAGUAAUUUUAAAAACUCUGAUUACACGAUAGCUGAGACCCAAACUGGGAUUAGAUACCCCACUAUGCUCAGCCCUAAACAUAAAAAAUUAUAAACAAAAUUAUUCGCCAGAGUACUACCGGCAAUAGCCUAAAACUCAAAGGACUUGGCGGUGCCUUAUAUCCUCCUAGAGGAGCCUGUUCUAUAAUCGAUAAACCCCGAUAUACCUUACCAGUCUUUGCCAAAUCAGCCUAUAUACCGCCAUCUUCAGCAAACCCUAAAAAGGAAACAAAGUAAGCACAAGCAUUAACAUAAAAACGUUAGGUCAAGGUGUAGCUUAUAGACUGGAAAGAAAUGGGCUACAUUUCUCGAAUCGAGAAAUCCUAUUUUACGAAAACCUAUGUGAAAUCAAAAGUUAAAGGUGGAUUUAGCAGUAAAUUAAGAAUAGAGAGCUUAAUUGAAUUUGGCCAUGAGGCACGCACACACCGCCCGUCACCCUCCUCAAAUAAAUAAUACUAAUAGUACUAUAAAUAAUAUACAAACAUUUACCUAUGAGAGGAGACAAGUCGUAACAAGGUAAGUGUACUGGAAAGUGCACUUGGACAACU
rnacentral:ncRNA from 1 species